rnacentral:rRNA from 1 species
GACUCGUCACACUAUCAUUAACUGAAUCCAUAGGUUAAUGAGGCGAACCGGGGGAACUGAAACAUCUAAGUACCCCGAGGAAAAGAAAUCAACCGAGAUUCCCCCAGUAGCGGCGAGCGAACGGGGAGGAGCCCAGAGCCUGAAUCAGCAUGUGUGUUAGUGGAAGCGUCUGGAAAGGCGCGCGAUACAGGGUGACAGCCCCGUACACAAAAGCGCAUGUGCUGUGAGCUCGAUGAGU